rnacentral:rRNA from 1 species
GGGGAAUAUUGCACAAUGGGCGAAAGCCUGAUGCAGCAACGCCGCGUGAGUGAAGAAGGUUUUCGGAUUGUAAAGCUCUGUCAUCUGGGACGAUAAUGACGGUACCAGAUGAGGAAGCCACGGCUAACUACGUGCCAGCAGCCGCGGUAAUACGUAGGUGGCAAGCGUUGUCCGGAAUUACUGGGCGUAAAGGGUGCGCAGGCGGACAUUUAAGUGAGAUGUGAAAUACCCGGGCUUAACCCGGGCAGUGCAUUUCAAACUGGGUGUCUGGAGUGCAGGAGAGGAGAACGAAAUUCCUAGUGUAGCGGUGAAAUGCGUAGAGAUUAGGAAGAACACCAGUGGCGAAGGCGGUUCUCUGGACUGUAACUGACGCUGAGGCACGAAAGCGUGGGGAGCAAAC